UUAUCGUUUAUUUGAUAGCACCUACUACAUGGAUAACUGUGGUAAUUCUAGAGCUAAUACAUGCUAAAAAUCCCGACUUCGGAAGGGAUGUAUUUAUUAGAUUAAAAACCAAUGCCCUUCGGGGCUCUCUGGUGAUUCAUAAUAACUGCUCGAAUCGCAUGGCCUUGCGCCGGCGAUGGCUCAUUCAAAUUUCUGCCCUAUCAACUUUCGACGGCUGGGUCUUGGCCAGCCAUGGUGACAACGGGUAACGGAGGGUUAGGGCUCGACCCCGGAGAAGGAGCCUGAGAGACGGCUACUACAUCCAAGGAAGGCAGCAGGCGCGCAAAUUACCCAAUCCCAAUUCGGGGAGGUAGUGACAAUAAAUACUGAUACAGGGCUCUUUUGGGUCUUGUAAUCGGAAUGAGAACAAUUUAAAUCCCUUAACGAGGAACAAUUGGAGGGCAAGUCUGGUGCCAGCAGCCGCGGUAAUUCCAGCUCCAAUAGCGUAUAUUAAAGUUGUUGCAGUUAAAAAGCUCGUAGUUGAACCUUGGGCCUGGCUGGCCGGUCCGCCUCACCGCGUGCACUGGUCCGGCCGGGCCUUUCCCUCUGGGGAGCCGCAUGCCCUUCACUGGGCGUGUCGGGGAACCAGGACUUUUACUGUGAAAAAAUUAGAGUGUUCAAAGCAGGCCUAUGCUCGAAUACAUUAGCAUGGAAUAAUAGAAUAGGACGUGUGGUUCUAUUUUGUUGGUUUCUAGGACCGCCGUAAUGAUUAAUAGGGACAGUCGGGGGCGUCAGUAUUCAAUUGUCAGAGGUGAAAUUCUUGGAUUUAUUGAAGACUAACUGCUGCGAAAGCGUUCGCCAAGGAUGUUUUCAUUAAUCAGGAACGAAAGUUAGGGGAUCGAAGACGAUCAGAUACCGUCGUAGUCUUAACCAUAAACUAUGCCGACUCGGGAUCGGACGAUGUUAUUUUUUGACUCGUUCGGCACCGUAUACGAAAGUAAAGUUUCUGGGU
rnacentral:rRNA from 1 species